ensembl:ncRNA ZC250.10 ncRNA
GGCAUCCCUAUCCACUUGAAUGCUUGCCCUCUGCUCAAUUCUCACCUCUUUAUUUUUUCUAAAAUAUGCAAAGACAAACACAAUCGGGGCGGCAAUGUGUCAUCGAGUCGCCACCAUGCCUUUGUUCUCUAAUGAGCGAGGAGCGCAUGAGAUCGUUUCCCGAAAUACUUCCGUUCGCCCACCCCCCGUAUUCUUGAACUCCUC